rnacentral:rRNA from 1 species
UGAGGAAUUUUGCGCAAUGGGAGCAAUCCUGACGCAGCAACGCCGCGUGGGUGAUGAAGGCCUUCGGGUCGUAAAGCCCUGUCAGGUGGGAAGAAUGUCCCGGGACUGAACAGGUUUCGGGAGUGCCGGUGCCACCAGAGGAAGCACCGGCUAACUCCGUGCCAGCAGCCGCGGUAAUACGGAGGGUGCAAGCGUUAUUCGGAAUUACUGGGCGUAAGGCGCGUGUAGGCGGCCCUGCAAGUCUGAUGUGAAAGCCCCGGGCUUAACCCGGGAAGUGCAUUGGAAACUGCAGG